GCCUGGUCUGAAGAGUCAACAGACACCUUCUGGUGUGGACGGGUCAACUUCAAGCAUAUUUGGUCAUGGAUGUCACUGCAACUUUCGCACUGCCAAGCGACAAUGCAGGUAAAGAGAGCCUGGAGAGGAUGGCAGCAACACCUCAUCUAGCUGUCAUUGGAUAACCUGGUUAAUGAUGUGACCCUCUUAAGGGCCACUACAUGCGGCUGAUUGGAGAAGCAUGACUCUCAUUUGGUCAAGUGCUUCACCAACGUAGUAUCAUGGACAGAGGCCGCAACGGCACGCACAGGAGCUUCGCGAGAACUGUCAAACUGGUUUGCGACAAAAGGAGGCCAGAAACGUGCACAGCAGUCAUUGUCUCCGCAAGAAGGGGAAUCAUGAAGAGCCCGGCCAGAAGCGUUUUGGGAAAAGCAGCGAAGCAGGUGUCAGCCUGAAGAUCAAGCUGUGACUAGGAUGGAAAAUAAUAAACACAGAAGUCAUUUUCUGUCCUGCACUACUG